rnacentral:ribozyme from 1 species
AAACACCCAAAAAAAAAAAAAAAAAAAAAACGCGGAAGGAAAAACUUGAAAAAACCAUAGAAAAGAAUCACAUCUGUGGCUUCUCGCCGAACAGAUCUUUUUUUUUUUUU